UAUCGGAUUACUGGGCGUAAGCGCACGCAGGCGGUUUGUUAAGUCAGAUGUGAAAUCCCCGCGCUUAACGUGGGAACUGCAUUUGAAACUGGCAAGCUAGAGUCUUGUAGAGGGGGGUAGAAUUCCAGGUGUAGCGGUGAAAUGCGUAGAGAUCUGGAGGAAUACCGGUGGCGAAGGCGGCCCCCUGGACAAAGACUGACGCUCAGGUGCGAAAGCGUGGGGAGCAAACAGGAUUAGAUACCCUGGUAGUCCACGCUGUAAACGAUGUCGACUUGGAGGUUGUGCCCUUGAGGCGUGGCUUCCGGAGCUAACGCGUUAAGUCGACCGCCUGGGGAGUACGGCCGCAAGGUUAAAACUCAAAAAAAUUGACGGA
rnacentral:rRNA from 1 species